GACGAACGCUGGCGGCGUGCUUAACACAUGCAAGUCGAACGGAAAGGCCCUGCUUUUGUGGGGUGCUCGUGUGGCGAACGGGUGAGUAACACGUGAGUAACCUCCCCUUGUCUUUGUGAUAACUUCUGGAAACUGGGGCUCAUACCGGAUAGGAGCUCCUGCUGCAUAGUGGGGGUUGGAAAGUUUCGGCGGUUGGGGAUGUACUCGCGGCUUAUCAGCUUGUUGGUGGGGUAGUGGCUUACCAAGGCUUUGACGGGUAGCCGGCCUGAGAGGGUGACCGGCGACAUUGGGACUGAGAGACGGCGCAGAAGGCUACGGGAGGCAGCAGGGGGGAAUAUGGCGGAGUGGGCGGAAGCGUGAUGCAGAAACGCCGCGUGCGGGAUGACGGCCUUCGGGUGGUAAACAGCUGUGGAAUGUGACGAAGCGUGAGUGACGGUAAUGGGUAAAGAAGCACCGGCUAACUACGUG
rnacentral:rRNA from 1 species